GCCUGGGUGGCUCAGUGGGUUGAGCGUCCGGCUUCAGCUCAGGUCAUGAUCUCACAGUUCGUGAGUUCAAGCCUCGCGUCGGGCU
rfam:Felis catus isolate Cinnamon breed Abyssinian chromosome A2, whole genome shotgun sequence.